rnacentral:rRNA from 1 species
UACGGAGGGUGCAAGCGUUAUCCGGAUUCACUGGGUUUAAAGGGCGCGUAGGUGGGCAGGUAAGUCAGUGGUGAAAUCUCUGGGCUUAACCCGGAAACUGCCAUUGAUACUAUUUGUCUUGAAUUUUCUGGAGGUAAGCGGAAUAUGUCAUGUAGCGGUGAAAUGCUUAGAUAUGACAUAGAACACCCAUUGCGAAGGCAGCUUACUACGGAAUGAUUGACACUGAGGCUCGAAAGCGUGGGGAUCAAACAGG